GCAGCCGCGGUAAUACGGAGGAUCCAAGCGUUAUCCGGAUUUAUUGGGUUUAAAGGGUGCGUAGGCGGUUUGAUAAGUUAGAGGUUAAAUGUCAGUGCUCAACACUGGCCUGCCUCUAAUACUGUUGGACUAGAGAGUAGAUGCGGUAGGCGGAAUGUAUGGUGUAGCGGUGAAAUGCGUAGAGAUCAUACAGAACACCGAUUGCGAAGGCAGCUUACCAAACUAUAUCUGACGUUGAGGCACGAAAGCGUGGGUAGCAAACAGGAUUAGAUACCCC
rnacentral:rRNA from 1 species